UACGGGGGGAGCAAGCGUUGUUCGGAGUUACUGGGCGUAAAGGGCAUGCAGGCGGUCCGACACGUUUUGUGUGACAGCGGGUGGCUUAACUACCCGAGGAUACGAAAGACGGUUGGACUUGAGGACUCGAGAGGGACACGGAAUUCCGGGUGGAGUGGUGAAAUGCGUAGAGAUCCGGAGGAACACCGAAGGCGAAGGCAGUGUCCUGGCGAGUGACUGACGCUGAGGUGCGAAAGCUAGGGGAGCGAACGGG
rnacentral:rRNA from 1 species